GCGGAUGUGGCGAAAUUGGCAGACGCGCUAGGUUCAGGUCCUAGUGGAGGUAAAACUCCGUGGAGGUUCAAGUCCUCUCAUCCGCA
rnacentral:tRNA from 1 species